GACUGAGAUCUGCUGAGGGGGGCAGGGCUAAACCCAGCCAGUGCACUCUAGGACGGUAUGGUCUGCUCUCACAGACAGGCAGAUAUUGGCAGCGUCUGCUACAUCUGCAAUAGAAGAUCAGAAAGAGAGUCUCCAAAGCAGACAGCUCUGGGUUCCGAGAUCAGCACUACUGACUAGAGGCAAAAUGAUUUGGGGGCUGACCUCAGACAUAGGCCCUCCACAGGAACUCACAAGGCUGAGAGGAAUAGAGCUUGUCUUGAGAAUCCAGGCAGCCAUCUCCACCAGUGGUUCCACCACCUCCAGUGAGCUUCAUCAGAGUGAACCAGACCAUCUCCUUCUUUUACCUCUAAAGCACAGAGUCCUUACCAUCUUUUCUCUUCAAAUUAGCCAGCCUAAUCAAUUUUGGCUUCUACACUGCAGGGGUGGAAGUUGGGGAUGGGUGCAGAGAAAAGGAAAUCUCUUCUUAUUUUUUUCUUCCAGGAAGAGUCUAUAGCUGUCCAAAAAAGAAAAGGGAAAAAAUGAACAAGACACUAAAUAAAUCUCUCAACAAUUCACUGUUAUAUCCUCAAGUUAAACAAAAUCAUGAGUUGUUCUUCACUGAUUUUUAAAAAAAUGUUUAAUAGGACUGAACAGAGACAGAACUCUUUUUAUGAAGGCUUCCAGAGCAUCGUAAGUGAGCCAUGGACUGAGCUGCAGGUAUCCUGUCCGGGAACUGCAGGAAGGACUGUGUUGCUGACCAGGGGGUAGGUGGAGUAGUGCUGAGAUCUGGAGGAACUUUGCCCUUUUCCACAUAGGAAAAGGCUGCAUUAGUAACUCUCCUGCUCUUUCCUACUUCCCUUGCUAGUGACUGGACUGUGUUUUCAGUGUUAUUAAACUUCAUUGAGCUCUGUGUUUAAGAUCUAAAUAUGGGAGAAAACAUAAAAAAAAAAUCUUAGUGUUCUUAGAGGGUGGAGAGAAACAGCUGCAAAAAAAAAUAUGUUUUAGCUUUCUCUCUAUGGGAGGAGAUAAAGUGAACCAAGGAAGAUGACCAUUUGUGCUUGUCAAUUCUCACUCAAGAAAUGUUGAACUUCUAUGUGCAAAGGACUACACUACAAACCUGUAUAAGUAAAGUGCUUGGGAACAGUGUCUAGCUCAGUAAAUGCUAGCUGUUAUCAUUACUAUUAUUAUUGACAGCAGUU
rnacentral:lncRNA from 1 species